AUCGGUUCUCAGGGCGGGGUGAAAGUCCCCACCGGCGGUAAUGAUGCGGCGUGAAAAAGACACGCCAGCCUCUCAGCCCGCGAGCGCUUGAUGGCUAGCGCCAUCAAGGUCAGCAGAUUCGGUGAGAUUCCGAAGCCGACGGUCACAGUCCGGAUGAAAGAGAACGGUU
rnacentral:ncRNA from 2 species